rnacentral:rRNA from 1 species
GAACGCUAGCUACAGGCUUAACACAUGCAAGUCGAGGGGCAGCAUUUCAGUUUGCUUGCAAACUGGAGAUGGCGACCGGCGCACGGGUGAGUAACACGUAUCCAACCUGCCGAUAACUCGGGGAUAGCCUUUCGAAAGAAAGAUUAAUACCCGAUGGUAUAAUCAGACCGCAUGGUCUUGUUAUUAAAGAAUUUCGGUUAUCGAUGGGGAUGCGUUCCAUUAGGCAGUUGGUGAGGUAACGGCUCACCAAACCUUCGAUGGAUAGGGGUUCUGAGAGGAAGGUCCCCCACAUUGGAACUGAGACACGGUCCAAACUCCUACGGGAGGCAGCAGUGAGGAAUAUUGGUCAAUGGGCGCAGGCCUGAACCAGCCAAGUAGCGUGAAGGAUGUCUGCCCUAUGGGUUGUAAACUUCUUUUAUAUGGGAAUAAAGCUUUCCACGUGUGGAAUUUUGUAUGUACCAUAUGAAUAAGGAUCGGCUAACUCCGUGCCAGCAGCCGCGGUAAUACGGAGGAUCCGAGCGUUAUCCGGAUUUAUUGGGUUUAAAGGGAGCGUAGGUGGACAGUUAAGUCAGUUGUGAAAGUUUGCGGCUCAACCGUAAAAUUGCAGUUGACACUGGCUGUCUUGAGUACAGUAGAGGUGGGCGGAAUUCGUGGUGUAGCGGUGAAAUGCUUAGAUAUCACGAAGAACUCCGAUUGCGAAGGCAGCUCACUGGACUGCAACUGACACUGAUGCUCGAAAGUGUGGGUAUCAAACAGGAUUAGAUACCCUGGUAGUCCACACAGUAAACGAUGAAUACUCGCUGUUUGCGAUAUACAGUAAGCGGCCAAGCGAAAGCAUUAAGUAUUCCACCUGGGGAGUACGCCGGCAACGGUGAAACUCAAAGGAAUUGACGGGGGCCCGCACAAGCGGAGGAACAUGUGGUUUAAUUCGAUGAUACGCGAGGAACCUUACCCGGGCUUAAAUUGCAUUUGAAUAAUCUGGAAACAGGUUAGCCGCAAGGCAAAUGUGAAGGUGCUGCAUGGUUGUCGUCAGCUCGUGCCGUGAGGUGUCGGCUUAAGUGCCAUAACGAGCGCAACCCUUAUCUUUAGUUACUAACAGGUCAUGCUGAGGACUCUAGAGAGACUGCCGUCGUAAGAUGUGAGGAAGGUGGGGAUGACGUCAAACCAGCACGGCCCUUACGUCCGGGGCUACACACGUGUUACAAUGGGGGGUACAGAAGGCAGCUACCUGGUGACAGGAUGCUAAUCCCAAAAGCCUCUCUCAGUUCGGAUCGAAGUCUGCAACCCGACUUCGUGAAGCUGGAUUCGCUAGUAAUCGCGCAUCAGCCAUGGCGCGGUGAAUACGUUCCCGGGCCUUGUACACACCGCCCGUCAAGCCAUGAAAGCCGGGGGUACCUGAAGUACGUAACCGCAAGGAGCGUCCUAGGGUAAAACUGA